rnacentral:tmRNA from 1 species
GGGGAUGCAAUGGUCUCGACGGGGGCGGACGGUGCAUGGGCAGCGAGCCGGGGGUCACCAUCCCGUCAGCAAGGUGAAACUUUUAUCUAAACAUAAAAGCAAACGAAGAUUACGCUCUGGCGGCUUAACGCCAGCCUCUACUUAUCUGAGCCCACGCGGGUAGGAUAGAGGACAGCCGUGGGCUGUUCCAUCGUCAAUUCUCGGAGAUUGGUGGAGAACUUCAUCGAGAUCGGGUCUUUUGAGUCUGCCUGCGGACGCCUGAGACCUUAAAGCAAAACACAGGCUUCGCUCGGAGAAACCCGUGAAACGACACCUUCGGACAGGAGUUCAAUUCUCCUCAUCUCCACCA